rnacentral:rRNA from 1 species
CGUGGGUAAUCUACCCUAGGGUGGGGGAAUAACUCCUCGAAAGGGGAGCUAAUGCCGACAUGUGCGCCACUCUCGCAAGGGAGUGAUGGAAAGCCGUACCGUGGGUGCGGCGCCCAAGGAUGAGCUCACGUCCUAUCAGCUUGUUGGCGGGGUAACGGCCCACCAAGGCUGCGACGGGUAGCUGGUCUGAGAGGACGACCAGCCACACUGGCACUGCGACACGGGCCCG